UGGGAUAUCAGGAAAGAAAAGGCAGCAUGGAGGAGGAGGCAUUUGGGAUUGACCUUGGAGGAGAUGGGAAUGGUUUCACAGCAAGAAGGAUAGCAUGAGAACAUAUAUGAAGACUGAUAAUGAAAGUCAUGGUCAGGAAAAAGCAAAUGGUUAAACUCCAGGACAUGUUGAGAAGUGGCACAGACAAACAGGAAUGGGGCCCUAUGCCAAGUGGGAGAAUUUUGUAUUUAAUACAGUACUUUGAGUUUUCGUGGUUUAAAAGCCUUCCUUUUCUUUGACAUCUCUGUGAAUGGAUACAGAAAUCAGAGGUGGGAAAACUGCCAAACAGACCUGCAAUAGGCCAGGUGAAAGGUAAUGAUGAGUCUGAACUAAAGGUAAGGCAGGAAGGAUUUAAAAGAGCUUGGUUAGAAGAUGAUGUGGAAGCAGCAUCCACAGAAUUUGGCGAUUGAUUAAUUGGUUUUACAGCAAGAGGGGAUAACAUGAGAACAUAUAUGAAGGUGGAAGAGAAAAAUCGAAGAUAGUGGAGGCUUUGAGUUUAGGUAAUUGUAGAAGAAAUAGAGAUAGAAGUAGGAACUGCUUUUUGAAAGAUCAGUUGAGAUUUGGACUCUUUAAGAGUUUGAAAGAUUGUUGAGACAGCCAGAUAGAGGUGGAUAGUAAGAAGUUAGAAAUAAAAGCUUUGAAAUAUAGGAAAGAGGGUUGAACUAGAAAACAGGUUGGUAAGUUAGCAGCCUAUCAAUGAUAUCACUGUGAGAGAAAAGAAGAAAACAAAGGGUAGAAUCUUGGAGAACAUCUUCACUAGAACUUUGCUACUUGAAGUGUGGUCAGUGGCCUAGCAGUACUGGCAUGACCAGGGGGUUUGUUGGAAAGGUACAAUCUCAGUCCCCCUCAUCCCCAACUCGUGCUAAAUCAGCAUCCUUAACAAGAACCCCAAGUGAUCUGUAUCACAUUACAGUUUGAGAAACUGUGACCUAGCUGGAUUAUGCAGAUGACUACCAGCCCCUGGGGGUGACAGAGCCACAAGAAAGAAGGUGCCUGGAAGAAGGAGAGCUGCCCACUGACCAGGAACACCCACUGCCAGUUAUCAUCUAUAGAUUCACAAGAAUCAAGACUAAGCAGCUAAGCAGCCUGGAUUGAAGCAUUACUAGCAUCGCCAGGCAGCGCUUCUGUUGCCAUAGCAACUACGUACUGGCCAAAUGGCAGGUAACAUGAGGACCAACUGCUAUGACUGCUCUUUCCACACCAGAGUUGACGGCUGAACUACUGUGCACUGAUUAACACAUUUCAAGAGAAAAUAAGGUUAAUAUUUCUGAUCUACCUAAAGAAUAGACUGACUUUCAGAACUCCUUUUCUGGAAUCCAGGGAAAAGAUCUGUUUGGUAAUGUUAAUCUUGGCAUUAAGACAGUAGUGAGAGCAGAGCCCACUUGAGACUGACACUAAGAAGAACCAACCUUGUGGAAGAAGGCUGCACGGAAGCUCCCAUAGCUGAUGGAACCCCACGAAUUGUAGGAGGCUCAUCAUUCCCUCAAACCAAUCCAGACUGGCUGCUACACAGGUAAUUUCAGAAGUACUGAUAUAAAGGAAGUAAAAGGAAACUCUAUCAUGUUCUAGCCCUGGGAAUGGCAGAAAGAAAGAAAGAGAUGAAGAAGAAAGAAAAAGAGAAGAAAAAACAGAAAGAGACAUCAUAUAGACUCCUUGGCGUCAAGUGAUGUGGAUCCUGAGAACCAAUGACCGUUUCCCCACGAUGACUGACCCCAAAAGUGAAGAAGAGGACAGGCCACUGGGCUAGCAAGAUAGAUGGGGACCUAGUAGCCUCAAUGGGGAUUCAUAAUGCCAGAGGAGGUGAGAUGAAGCCAAAGCACCUCCAUGCUCUAAACUGGAAGCGAGACCAGACUACAAGUUUAUGCCAACUCAGGGCUUCAUCAUUGGGACCCAACAAAGAAAAGCAGACAACAGAGAGCACAUUCCAGCCAGUCACACACAAGGACCAACUGAAAUUCAGGUGAUCCUUUUCUCUUCAACUCCACAUGAUGCAAUAAAAGCUGUAUACCUGACCAUCGCAUACACUGGACUGAAUAUUCUUAUUCAGGAGAGCUGAGAGUUACUUACAGGAAAUGGUUAAAUUACCAGAGUAAGGUUUGAACAGAUUGGACAUUUACUUCGUUCCUAGACUUCCAGCAAUUAUCGUGAUGUGGAUUGGGCAGGGUGAGAGGGGUGGUGGUGUCAUAAAGAACACAGGUCUGCUGUAGACUAAAUAAAUUUUCUCUGCUCACCUGCAUUGUAUUACAAGUGAA